AUGGAGGUCGAUCGAUCAAUCGAACUGCCUGUGGUCGAACAAGAAGGAACGAUGCCGUCGGAGUUGGAUAUCAUGGAGGAGUACGUGGAGACGGUGAAGGAGCGGGAGUCGGAGGCGAAGCUCAAGGACGUGAACCUGGACGACUGGCUCCCCAUCACCUCCUCGCGCACCGCCAAGUGGUACUACUCGGCCUUCCACAACGUGACGGCCAUGGUGGGCGCCGGCGUGCUGGGCCUCCCGUUCGCCAUGUCGCACCUCGGCUGGGGCCCCGGCGUGGCGGUCAUCGCCAGCUCCUUCGGGAUCACGCUCUACACGCUGUGGCAGAUGGUGGAGAUGCACGAGAUGGUGCCCGGGAAGCGCUUCGACCGCUACCACGAGCUCGGGCAGCACGCCUUCGGGAAGAAGCUGGGGCUCUGGAUCAUCGUGCCGCAGCAGCUCGUCGUCGACGUCGGCACCGACAUCGUCUACAUGGUCACCGGCGGCCAGUCGCUCAAGAAGUUCCACGACCUCGUCUGCAACGGCCGCUGCAAGGACAUCCGCCUCACCUACUUCAUCAUGAUCUUCGGCUCCGUCCACUUCUUCCUGUCCCAGAUGCCCAACUUCAACUCCAUCUCCGGCGUCUCCGCCGCCGCCGCCGUCAUGUCCAUCUGCUACUCCAUGGUCGCCUUCUUCGCGUCUGUGCUACACAAACACCCUGCUGCAGUCGGGGCCGCCGUCGACUACGGGCUCAAGGCGGCGACCACGGCGGGGCACGUGUUCGGCGCGCUCAACGCGCUCGGGGCGGUGGCAUUCGCGUUCGCCGGCCACAACGUCGUGCUCGAGAUCCAGGCCACCAUCCCGUCCACCCCGGAGCAACCCUCCAAGAAGCCCAUGUGGCGCGGCGUGCUGGUUGCCUACGCCGUCGUCGCGCUCUGUUACUUCUCGGUGGCCUUCGGCGGGUACUACGCCUUCGGCAACUCGGUCGACCCCAACAUCCUCAUCACGCUCGACAAGCCGCGGUGGCUCAUCGCCCUCGCCAACCUCAUGGUCGUCGUGCACGUGAUCGGCAGCUACCAGGUGUUCGCGAUGCCGGUGUUCGACAUGAUGGAGACGGUGCUCGUGAAGAAGCUCAAGUUCAACCCCGGCCUGCCGCUCCGCCUCACCGCCCGCUCCGCCUACGUCGCGCUCACCAUGCUCGUCGGCAUGACCUUCCCCUUCUUCGACGGCCUGCUCGGGUUCUUCGGAGGCUUCGCGUUCGCGCCCACCACCUACUUCCUGCCAUGCAUCAUCUGGCUCAUGCUGCGCAAGCCCGCCAGAUACAGCGUCACAUGGUUCCUCAACUGGAUAUUCAUCGCCAUCGGAGUUGCGCUGAUGCUGCUGUCCCCCAUCGGUGGGUUGCGCCAAAUCAUCCUUGACGCCAAGACCUUCAAGUUCUACUCUUAA
rnacentral:rRNA from 1 species